rnacentral:rRNA from 1 species
GACGAACGCUGGCGGCGUGCCUAAUACAUGCAAGUGGGACGCAAGGAAACACACUGUGCUUGCACACCGUGUUUUCUUGAGUCGCGAACGGGUGAGUAACGCGUAGGUAACCUGCCUAUUAGCGGGGGAUAACUAUUGGAAACGAUAGCUAAUACCGCAUAAUAUUAAUUAUUGCAUGAUAAUUGAUUGAAAGAUGCAAGCGCAUCACUAGUAGAUGGACCUGCGUUGUAUUAGCUAGUUGGUAAGGUAAGAGCUUACCAAGGCGACGAUACAUAGCCGACCUGAGAGGGUGAUCGGCCACACUGGGACUGAGACACGGCCCAGACUCCUACGGGAGGCAGCAGUAGGGAAUCUUCGGCAAUAGACGAAAGUCUGACCGAGCAACGCCGAGUGAGUGAAGAAGGUUUUCGGAUCGUAAAGCUCUGUUGUAAGUCAAGAACGUGUGUGAGAGUGGAAAGUUCACACAGUGACGGUAGCUUACCAGAAAGGGACGGCUAACUACGUG